rnacentral:rRNA from 1 species
UGAAACUCGCCUACAUGAAGCUGGAGUUACUAGUAAUCGCAGAUCAGAAUGCUGCGGUGAAUGCGUUCCCGGGUCUUGUACACACCGCCCGUCACACCACGGAAGUUGGGGCGCCCGAAGCCACUUAGCUAACCCUUUGGGAAGCGAGUGUCGAAGGUGAAAUCAAUAACUGGGGUGAAGUCGUAACAAGGUAUC